AAGUCGUAACAAGGUUUCCGUAGGUGAACCUGCGGAAGGAUCAUUAACACGUAUCCAACGUUAAACCCCCCCCUGUGAACUUUUAGCACUGCUCUUGCAGCCCGUCUUCCUCCAGCAAUCCCUAGUAAAUCAUGGCGAACAGUUUGAUUUAGGGACUUCUGAGUCACGAGAAACUACAGUUGCAAUUGUAGCGGUAGUGUAAGCAAUCUCAGCUUCUCCUGGGUCCUUUGGUGAAUUGAAAAGUGUCAUCAGAGAUCGCCGACGAGAAUAAAUGCUCGGGUCCCCAUGCCCCCUUACAACCCCAUGUCUCGCAGCCGGGUCGCGAUAAUACGACCUAAAAAUAAAAACCGAACAACUGUUAACAAUGGAUAUCUUGGUUCUC
rnacentral:misc_RNA from 1 species